rnacentral:rRNA from 1 species
CGGGACGGGUGAGUAACGCGUGGGCAACCUACCGUAUACAGGGGGAUAACACUUAGAAAUAGGUGCUAAUACCGCAUAAGCGCACAGCAGUGCAUACUGGAGUGUGAAAAGCCGAGACGGUAUACGAUGGGCCCGCGUCUGAUUAGCCAGUUGGCAGGGUAACGGCCUACCAAAGCGACGAUCAGUAGCCGGCCUGAGAGGGCGGACGGCCACAUUGGGACUGAGACACGGCCCAGACUCCUACGGAAGGCAGCAG